GUUGCUAUAAUGUAAAUGAAGGUUGGUCCUCUCAUUUAUUAAUGCUAACUAUUACAGCACAUCAUUUUUAAUAAUUGAUCAACAUAGGUAGGAAUUUGUUCUGCUAGCAAGCCGAAGAAAACGCAUGCUUUAUAACAAAAGCAAAAGUAACAGCAACCGCUGAUUGGUUAACAGGUUUUUGCCGGACGGUAUGAGAGCAAUUUUUCUAGAAAUAAACGUGACGGUCUCAAAAGCACGCCUGCUUCGCACCAUAUCAUCAGAACCGACCCCACCGUGUCCCAUUCACCAAAAUCCAAAUUCAAGGACUAGGUGAAAAUUAAUGGCGAAUGAUCUUUCAGGACAAAUCCAUAUCAAAGCUUACUUUAUGCAACCUGAAAACAGUUUUUAAAUAUUAUAAUAAAAAAAUUUGACAUAAGUUCACAAGUAACAAUUAUCUUUUUUUACCGAUUAGCCUUUAUUCUAAUGGCAGAAAUUUUGUACUUACAAUGUUCAGUACAAAGGAUCAAGCUUCUAUAAGAGUUUUAUAAAGAUUAAUUUCAAUACUCUCUCAAUUAUCAACAUAAUUGAGUAGGAACAGUCUCUUUCUUACGAAAUAUGAGUGGAGUAGACACCCCUUGAAUAUUAGAGAGGAUUUAAAAUGUAUGAACAAGUAUUUCAGUGUGUCAAUGUAUGACGAUAAUUCCAGUUAUAUAAUAUGAUUAUAAAUAUUAAUUAUAAUAUAUAAUAUAAUAUCAGUAACAUCUCUAUAUAACAUACUUCAAAAAAAAAAAAAAUUACCUUUUUUGUUAAGUCCUAUAUUUCUUACUAAGCUCGCGUUAAAUUCAUGUAUUCUUUCUUCUUCCACACUUG
rnacentral:lncRNA from 1 species